UCUUAUAUUCAUGUGCAGGUAAAGGCAGACAUCCUGAAACCUUUGGCAAUAUCGUGUAUGUUUAAGAUCUCUACAACGAAUCUGUUCUAGCAAUGGCCUUCUGUGACGUCACCUCGACAAACUUCUAACAGGAGAUUAACAAAUCAACAAAUCAGCACCAGAAUCACUGGUAGAUAUUUAAAAGGUUGGUGUUUUGCUUUAAGCUUAUCCCUUAUGUGGUGUAUGUACACAGCAGGAAGACUUCUGGGAUUUAUUUACUUGUGCAUGUAGGAAGCACCUGCUCUGGUCUCUACCCAAUUAGACUACAAAGAACAGAAUGUUCACAGACUCUCUCUCUCUCACACACACACACACACACUUUCUCUAUUUCUGUCCUUCUGUCUCUCUCUCUCUCUCACACACACACACACACACUUUCUCUCUCUAUCUCUCUACUUGUCUCUCUCUCUCUCUCUCUCUCCACCCCUACACACACACACACACACACACACACAAGCAAAUAUUUUUAAGGGCGGUAUCCACGCCUGUAGCUCAUACAGGAACUGCAAAACAACAAAGCAGCAGCUCUCACAACGAGAGACGACGACUAUCUCCCAUUUUAUAUCCAGUUUAUUGUGCAUCUCUCUCUCUCUCUCUCUCUCUCUCACCGUGGACACACACCUGCCAUAAACUUUAUUCCACAGCGAAUUAUGAGGAGCUGCUACUAGAAGAGACCAGGUUGAGAGAUCUCCAGGUCAACCUCUAAUUGUGCUGGAAGGAUGGGAGAAAAUGAACAAUGUCUGCCGGGACCCGUCGCACCUCCCCACUCCAGCUGGCUGAAAAAGUGCCUGCAGAAUUAUUUGGGGCCUGAGCCUGAUGUGGAACAUGCGGUCCACACCGAUCACGCGACGCACCGUUCCAUUUGCUCCAGAAAGCUUUUAAUUGUGGCUUUCUUUGCUGUGCUGGCUCUGGCUGUCAUGGGGCUUCUGCUGUUCUGGAACUACCAGUGCAUCUUCGUGUGGCGGAUGUGCUACCAAGACGAGGAUCUCUCCAGCACCUCUGCAUCCGGAGACUGAUGAAGGGAACCUACGAGGGAAGGAAACGCAUCUAAAGCACACCCUUCCUGAUUUAUUCAUUAAACAUAUUACAUGCCUUUGAACUUGAUGAUGAAUAGAAGUACUUUUGCACCAUUGAUGCUGCUUUUAGAUUCUGGAAACCUUGAGGCAUAAGCUAGCCAAGUGAUUCAGUGUGUCUGUUUAUAAUGACAGUAGUUCACUCAGUGUAGUUACAUUGGUCACAGUUUAGCCUUGUAUAAUGUAUUAUAUACUCUCAGGUUUGUCUGCAUCGUGUGCCUUGGAUUCAAUUCUGUGAGAUACUGGAGGUCAAAAAUAGAUAUUGAGUUACCACAAGCCAACAGGACAGAUUCAGUCUGUACCUUAGCACUGAUUCUACAAGUCUCUGGAACUGUACACUUGUUUUUCUAAAAGAUUAGUGUGUUUUGCUGACCACAGAGUGCCGUGUAGUGACCGAUCAGAUCCGGUGACUGUGAUUUUCAUCAUUUACUCCUCAUCAAACCGUUCAGCGGACUCAUGUGACCUGUAGACAGGAUGGGGGCGGGGUUCUAUUUUAAAAGACCACGCCCAUCAGGAUAGAAGGUUUAAGCUGAUCAGUCUAUAUAUGACCUGUCUAUAUAUAUCAUAUAUAGCUAUCUGUCCAUUUUUUGUACUGCUUACCCUACACAGGGAACCUGGAGCCUAACCCAGGGACUCUGGACAGGUUACACAUUCAUCACACACACAGAUUAGCCAAACACAGUGUCUUAGAACUGGAGGAGGACAGUGGAGAACCCGGAGCAAACACCUGAAGCACAGGCAAGACAUGCAAACACAGACGAACACAGGGUGGAGACGGGAAUCGAACUCUGGAGGUUCUAGACCAACAUGCUCUAAAAAAAUAACUAUGAAGUUGUAUAAAAAUAAUUCAUUUACAUUUCAUACACAGCACAUCAAUGCACUGUAAUGAUUAUUUAGUGAACACUGCCUUUUAAUGAGCUUUGCUUUAACCGAGCACCACAAGAGGGAGGUGGAGACCACAAGAAAAGUGGGUGAACUCUCUGGAAUGACCUGUAAUCAGAAAAUGUGAUCUUGUUUAAUUGAUGACGAAUAAAUAUUAUAUUUUAAACA